rnacentral:tRNA from 1 species
GGGGCCGUAGCUCAGCUGGGAGAGCACCUGCUUUGCAAGCAGGGGGUAGUCGGUUAGAUCUCGUCCGGCUCCA